UGGGGAAUUUUGCGCAAUGGGCGAAAGCCUGACGCAGCAACGCCGCGUGAGUGAUGAAGGCCUUCGGGUCGUAAAGCUCUGUCAAGGGGAAAGAAGUGUAUAGUGGUUAAUACCCAUUAUACUUGACGGUACCCCUGGAGGAAGCACCGGCUAACUCCGUGCCAGCAGCCGCGGUAAUACGGAGGGUGCGAGCGUUGUUCGGAAUUAUUGGGCGUAAAGCGCGUGUAGGCGGUUUUAUAAGUCUGAUGUGAAAGCCCCGGGCUCAACCUGGGAAGUGCAUUGGAUACUGUAAGACUUGAAUACGGGAGAGGGUAGUGGAAUUCCUGGUGUAGGAGUGAAAUCCGUAGAUAUCAGGAGGAACACCGGUGGCGAAGGCGGCUGCCUGGACCGAUAUUGACGC
rnacentral:rRNA from 1 species